UAACACGUGGGUAACCUGCCCUUAAGUGGGGGAUAACAUUUGGAAACAGAUGCUAAUACCGCAUAAAUCCAAGAACCGCAUGGUUCUUGGCUGAAAGAUGGCGUAAGCUAUCGCUUUUGGAUGGACCCGCGGCGUAUUAGCUAGUUGGUGAGGUAACGGCUCACCAAGGCAAUGAUACGUAGCCGAACUGAGAGGUUGAUCGGCCACAUUGGGACUGAGACACGGCCCAAACUCCUACGGGAGGCAGCAGUAGGGAAUCUUCCACAAUGGACGCAAGUCUGAUGGAGCAACGCCGCGUGAGUGAAGAAGGCUUUCGGGUCGUAAAACUCUGUUGUUGGAGAAGAAUGGUCGGCAGAGUAACUGUUGUCGGCGUGACGGUAUCCAACCAGAAAGCCACGGCUAACUACGUGCCAGCAGCCGCGGUAAUACGUAGGUGGCAAGCGUUAUCCGGAUUUAUUGGGCGUAAAGCGAGCGCAGGCGGUUUUUUAAGUCUGAUGUGAAAGCCCUCGGCUUAACCGAGGAAGUGCAUCGGAAACUGGGAAACUUGAGUGCAGAAGAGGACAGUGGAACUCCAUGUGUAGCGGUGAAAUGCGUAGAUAUAUGGAAGAACACCAGUGGCGAAGGCGGCUGUCUGGUCUGUAACUGACGCUGAGGCUCGAAAGCAUGGGUAGCGAACAGGAUUAGAUACCCUGGUAGUCCAUGCCGUAAACGAUGAAUGCUAGGUGUUGGAGGGUUUCCGCCCUUCAGUGCCGCAGCUAACGCAUUAAGCAUUCCGCCUGGGGAGUACGACCGCAAGGUUGAAACUCAAAGGAAUUG
rnacentral:rRNA from 1 species